GCAAAAUUCCAUGCAAAAGAAUGCCCACGGCGGCAUUUUCACGUUUAAAAACUUCUCUGAUUAGCACACUGCUCUUUUGUGGCCGGACCAGUCAUCAUGGGAAGAUUGUUCCUCCGUGUUUCACUUUCCGCAGCUCUCGCGCUCCUGGUGGAGACUGUAAUUGGAGAAUCCGUCCCGGGGAGGGUUUGGGCUUUGCAGCCACUUGGCGGGCGGGCGUCUUGUGUCCAGGGCCGGCUGGCUGACAGUCCGAGGGCAGCCUGGCCCGGCCGGUGGACCCCUGCUGCAUAGUCACAUCACCUCUUUCUGCCUCUGUCACAGGGAAGUGCCGUGGAGAACCCACUCACUUGCUCAAGAAAAAGAGCCCAGGAACCUGGUUUAGUUUGCCUUAUGCUUUGGGCAAACUAAUCCAAAUCAGGUGAGUUGUCAGUUGUUUACAGCCGAAUGUCAGAGUAGAAAGCCGAUCCAUAGAUCCAAUACUUCUGUUAUCCGACACUGAACACAUAACCCAGGUUUCUGUCUAAGUCGUUAAGUUUCAAGCGAAAGCAAAGACAGGAAGAUAGCUCAUACUUACAAUUUUGUGCUUGUCUCAUACAAACUAUUCAGCAAUGUGGCCCCUUCUCAGGAGACUCUAGGCGAUGGCCUGUCCUGUGUGAUGUAAAGCCUCCAGCUCGCACUUUGCGUUUCUGUGAGGCAUAAUUUUGAAAUUUGGGGUAUUUAUUUCUUGGGGGCAGUCCCUAAAUCGGACUGUGAGUUUUGUGUGUGUGCAGUGUAAACUGUACUCUGAAGUGCUGCAUCUGUACUGAAAUGAAAUGGCAGCUCUUGGCUAACCAGGACAGGGGAAGAGAAAGGAGCUGAGUCACCACACAAGGAUCUGCCCAUUCUCUGGCCCCUUCCUGGCAUUUGCUGAUGCUUGGGUGAUUCAGCAAGUCCUGGAUUAGCAUGGUUUUUCUGCUUGUAUCCAAAUUCUCUGCUCUGCAGCCCCACUAGUCAUGGGCAAGUGGAGAGUUUUGCAUUUGUUCUUUGAAACUGAUUUACAAAGGAUGGCUUGUUUGAACCCCACACCUUACAGUGAUGCUCAUAGCUGUCUGGAUGCCCUGACUUCUAAGGUUCACUCUGGAGGUGGAGUAUGCUGCCAGGGCUGUAACCCCAGGACAGCUGACCAUGCCACUCUGAGAAUCUCCUGUGGGAGAUACCCAGGGGUGGAAACCAUCACGGUCGAUCGUGGCAACCUGGAAAAACUCACACCAGUAGAGUGCGUGACUAUGGUCUACUACUACCGUCCUGUGAAGCAAUAACUAGCUUAUCAGCACACGCAUGGCCAGAUAAACAGACAUUGUGUGCAUAUCGGUGUCCCAGGUUGUUCCCAUCAUUGCAGGCAGCAAAGACACCUGUGCAGAGAGUAGGUUCUGGAAUCUUAGAGGCUGCACCGCCCGGGGAAAGUGGCCCACCCAAGCUUUGGUGGGCUCCUGUGUGCACGGGCGGGCUGUCCUCUGCAUCUCCACUCAAGUGCUUCUCAGUGUUUGUUUCCUUCUUUUUCCCCAUAGCAGAUGAGUCCUUCCUGUGUGCUGCGAAGUGGCCAUCAUUCCUGUUUCACUGGUUAUUAUGGGAUCUGGAACACACAAAGCGAAAGGCAUGGCGCUAAUCGUCCAGCAGCAGAGCACCGUCCAGGGUGGCCCUGUCCUCCCAGCCUCAUCACCCCUGCCCACCACCCUCUGGUGAAGCACACCCCAAGCCCUAGCCUUGUGAGAGGCCGUGGCACAUGGCCAUCCUCAAUAUAGCCGUUCACUCUGCUGCAUUUCAGUUUGUCACCGUUCUUCUUAGAGGGAAUGAGAGGGAAAAUGAAUUUAAUUUAGUAUAAAAAAUAAACAUUUCUGGGCGCUGGAAACAUC